UACGUAGGGGGCAAGCGUUACUCGGAUUCACUGGGCGUAAAGAGCGCGUAGGCGGCUGGUCAAGCGUGGUGUGAAAUCUCCGGGCUCAACCCGGAAACUGCACCGCGAACUGGCCUGGCUCGAGUGCAGGAGAGGUGAGUGGAAUUCCCAGUGUAGCGGUGAAAUGCGUAGAUAUUGGGAGGAACACCAGUGGCGAAGGCGGCUCACUGGACCGGAACUGACGCUGAUGCGCGAAAGCGUGGGGAGCAAACGGGG
rnacentral:rRNA from 1 species